GACGAACGCUGGCGGCGUGCUUAACACAUGCAAGUCGAACGGAAAGGCCCUGCUUUUGUGGGGUGCUCGAGUGGCGAACGGGUGAGUAACACGUGAGUAACCUGCCCUUGACUUUGGGAUAACUUCAGGAAACUGGGGCUAAUACCGGAUAGGAGCUCCUGCUGCAUGGUGGGGGUUGGAAAGUUUCGGCUGUUGGGGAUGGACUCGCGGGUUAACAGCUUGUUGGUGGGGUAGUGGCUUACCAAGGCUUUGACGGGUAGCCGGCCUGAGAGGGUGACCGGCCACAUUGGGACUGAGAGACGGCCCAGACUCCUACGGGAGGCAGCAGGGGGGAUUAUUGCACAAUGGGCGGAAGCCUGAUGCAGCAACGCCGCGUGCGGGAUGACGGCCUUCGGGUUGUAAACCGCUUUCGCCUGUGACGAAGCGUGAGUGACGGUAAUGGGUAAAGAAGCACCGGCUAACUACGUG
rnacentral:rRNA from 1 species